GGAGCCCUGGUCAGGCCACUCUGCUACUGACCACAGUUUUCUCAUCUCUAAAAAGGCGCAGUAACAAUAUAAUUACCGUAUGCAGUCCCCCAGGAUACAGGGUCAAAGGAGAGCACAACCAUCGCAGUUGGAAGCCCAUGGGGCAGGAGCCGUCCUCACUCCCUCUAUUGCCUCUCCAGACCCAGACUUCACCCUCAGGUCACCCUCACCUGGACUUUGGGGUGCCCCACACCCCGCCCCAGGCCCUGGCCUCUGGAAUAUUUGGAAACUUGAACUGGGCCAGAGGCUUAAGCUCACAUCUGUCUGGAGCCUCAACUUUCUCCUCUGUAAAAUGGGCUAACACUGAAAGAACCUUGCAGAAUCUCAGCAACGUCACAGAGGACAUUGUUAGCACAGCCAGCGGGCUCCUGCUGGGCUGAGUUUGUGGGUAAUCCAAGCCUCGGCAGGUACAGUUCCUCCCUCAGAAGCAAGGUCUCGCUGUGUUACCCUGGCUGGAGUGCAGUGGCUACUUACAGGCAUGAUCAUAGCAUACUGCAGCCUCGAACUCCUGGACUAGAGCAGUUCUCCUGCCUCAGCCUCCAGAGCAGCUGGGACUGCAGACACGCACCACAGAGCCCAGCCUGAGUCAUUUUGAUUCUGUAACUGGCUUCCUCUCGGCGGGCAGGCUCACACCCUCCACCCCCAGCUGGAGAUGGAAGGAGGAUGCUCACCGCCCAUUCCUCAUGCAGGCCAUCGAUGGAAAUGUCAGACAGUGCGAGUCCACGCCUGAACACUUCUGGGGUCCGCUCUGGGACUGACACUGGCAGAUCCAUCGGUGAGCUCCCGCCUGCCACCUCUGGGCCUGCAUUGCGGUGAUAGGGCCAAGGGCCUGGGCCUUCAAUUCUCCAGACUUGCCAAAAUGCUCAGCGCAGGCCUCGUCGGCAACUGCAGACAAGCAGAGGCAGCACCUGGGCUCUGCCUGUGCCUGGCACAGUGAAGCGAGGGUGGGGGCAGGAAUGAGGGUCCUCUCCAUGCAAGGGGGGAAGAUAGAAGAACAAAAUUUCACCCUAA
rnacentral:lncRNA from 1 species